CACGCUAUGGUAUAACGAGAUGGAUUUAUUUAAAGCUGUAUUGAAGUGGACUGAUCACCAAUGUUCAUUGCAAAAUUUGAUAACAACGCGAGAAAACCGCAGAAAGGUACUUGGUAAUGCGAUAUACUUCAUCCGGUUUCUGCUUAUGAAUCAAAGUGAAUUUGCGACACAUGUUCUGCCAAUAGAUAUGCUAGAUGAUCACGAAACUGUCGCUAUAAUAAAGUGGAUGGCUGGUGAACAAGUGCCUUACUUAGCCUGGGAUUCUGUUAAGUUAAGAAAUAAACGGCUUCCCGAGUGGCUUACAGCUACUACGAAGAAGAGUAAUUCGUGGACACACUACUUCGGAGUUUUUGUCUUUGGAUAUUUAAUUCCUUUAAUUACUUAUUUAAUUUUUGGCAUAGGUAUUUUCGCUUGUAUUAUUUUCGCGAAAGAGAAAUGGGAUAGAUAUGUUAGAUGUAGG